CACCAUGCUGAGCAUAAAGUUGGCUGAUGAAUUUAGUCAAAGUGAACUCUACCUGAACAGACCUGACUGCGGAUAUGGAUCAGUUGAACCGAGGUUUGAAGAAGCCUCGGUUUCACUCAGAUGCUGGGGGAAGGUGUUAGAUCGACAUGAGUUGACGUCGCUGCGCGCUGCCUUUCAAGCUGGCUGCUACACCUUUCGCUUUCUUAAGAAAAUAAAAAACUAAUUUAGCUGUUUAGAAAUAUUUCCAAUUGUGAAAAAUUCCAGACAAGCGCCACCCAUGUGUGAAAACUACAGUUACCAAACAAGCAGGAAGUCUCGCUAACCAGCUAAUGUUAGCUUGACACGCUAACAUUAGCGUGCUAGUUCUGUUAGCAUCUAUAGACAACCUGGAUAUGGCGUCCAUCUCCGGCGGUCGUUGGGUGAAAGACGGGGUCCAACUUGGACCAUCGUGGGCCAACACAGGACAAACAACCAUACACACAAACAAACGCACACACACACACACAAAACUAAAGUUACUUCAACUAAUCAACAUAAAAACGAUUACUAAAUGUAGCUUUCUUUGUUUUUGCCUAACUUUUUACAUAUUAAAAUAAGAAAUGCUAUGGAUAACAUUAGAAUUGUAGUACCGUAAUUAAUAUAUUAUUUUAGCAGUGGCUCCUCCAAAAAGGGGGCAAAGGAAGCCAAAGCCCUGUCUUGAUGAAUGUUGAUCAAUCAAGACAUAAAUGUAAAACCCAAUUAAUACAUUUUUAAAUAUAUAUAUAAAUAAAUAAAAACAUGAAAUAGUCAUCCCACUGUUGCUAACGUAGCGACUUUGUUACUAUAUUAGUGACUUUUUGGGGUGGAAAAAUAAAUAAAGGUCAGGCUUUUUUAAGAUGGGUGACCAGCCAGAAAACCACAGUCGAAGUGCUAGUAUAGGACACUGUCAAAAGCAAUUCCACCUCUGAUUGGUUGAAGGGGGGAAAAACAAAAGGCAUCUCCAUGUUCAAAAACCCGUAAAUGUGGCUAAAUUAAAAAUAAUUCUGCAAAGG